GUCGGUAGUGAUAGGAUACUUAAAAUAAGGAGCGAUGAAGGAUUAUAAUUAGGGAUUGUUGGUUUUUUUUAGAGUAACAUGUUAUAUUUAGUUUUCCUUUCUAAAAUCUCUCUAAUUUCUAGAGUGUGAUCCCUACUCGAAUCGGGUCGUAUCAUUCUUUCUUGUGCGGUUCUAUGAUGAAAAAACAUAUUAAUUUAUGCACACUAGAGGGGUGUUUGUUUCCAGGUUAUAAAAUUUAUUCCUGGGAAUAUGAGGAUGGGAAUGCACUUUCCCAUGUUUGGUAGAAGGUAAAAGAAAAAUAUACCUGGGAACAAAUUAUACCCAGGAAAUUUUUUAACCCAUGAUCUCCCUAUUUUUAUUCCCAUGAAAAAGGAGUUGGAAUGUUUUAUUCCUAGAAAUGACAUUUGCCUUGCUACAUGAAAACCCCACUACCACCAUGUUUUUUCAACUGCCAAUUAAUUUCUAUUUUUUUCUUUUACAUGCUCUACAUCAAGACAUUGUUAUAAUGUAUGUUAUUAUAUGUAAUUCAUCUAUUAUUUCUUUAUGUUCUUUUUGGUUUGUGCAAAAACAUAUUUAUGUGUCUAUUCAAGUUUUCAACAAUAUUGUUCUAUUAUAUCAAUCAACUAUAUUCUAUCAAUCAACUAUAUGAAAACAUAAUUUUAUUUCAUGGUGUAUUUUCAAAUGCUUCAAGUUAUAAUGAAAAUAAAAUGUAGUAAAAUAAAUUCAAAUUGAUUUAGAAACAAGGUAGAGGUAUUUUUGUAACUGUAUCAUGUUUUUUCUAGGAAUAUAUAUUCUAAACUAAACAACAAUUAGCUAUUUAUGGGAACAUUUUUUGAAAAUAUUCCUGAAAAAUUAAAAUACUAACCAAACACUUUUUUUUAAAAUACCCAGGAAUAAACUUCCCACUACUUUAUUCCCAGGUAAGUUAUUCC
rnacentral:lncRNA from 1 species